UCCCAGACUCCUACGGGAGGCAGCAGUAGGGAAUUUUCGUCAAUGGAGGGAACUCUGAACGAGCAAUGCCGCGUGAGUGAAGAAGGUCUUCGGAUCGUAAGGCUCUGUUGCAAGAGAAAAACGACAAGCACAGGGAAUGGUGAUUGAGUGAUGGUAUCUUGCGAGGAAGCCACGGCUAACUACGUGCCAGCAGCCGCGGUAAUACGUAGGUGGCGAGCGUUAUCCGGAAUGAUUGGGCGUAAAGGGUGCGCAGGCGGCGCAUUAAGUUUGAAGUAAAAGGUAGCGGCUCAACCGCUGCAAGCUUCGAAAACUGGUGUGCUGGAGUGCAGGAGAGGGCAGUGGAAUUCCAUGUGUAGCGGUAAAAUGCGUAGAUAUAUGGAGGAACACCGGUGGCGAAGGCGGCUGCCUGGCCUGUAACUGACGCUGAGGCACGAAAGCGUGGGGAGCAAAUAGGAUUAGAUACCCCAGUA
rnacentral:rRNA from 1 species